AUUUUUAAUUUUAGUUUCUUGUGUAUAAUUCGGAGUUUAGUCUGACGUCCAUUAUCACUGUACUAGUAUACAUAUUUUUAAGGGGCCAGCUGAAGGACGCUUACGGGUGCGGGAGUUUCUCGCUACAUUGAAGACCCAUUGGUGGCCUUCGGCUGUUGUCUGUUCUAUGGUCGGGUUAUUGUCGCUUUGACACAUUCCCCAUUUCCUU
rnacentral:lncRNA from 1 species